rnacentral:rRNA from 1 species
UAGGGAAUCUUGGGCAAUGGACGGAAGUCUGACCGAGCAACGCCGCGUGAGUGAAGAAGGUUUUCGGAUCGUAAAGCUCUGUUGUUAGAGAAGAACGUUGGUAGGAGUGGAAAAUCUACCAAGUGACGGUAACUAACCAGAAAGGGACGGCUAACUACGUGCCAGCAGCCGCGGUAAUACGAAGGUCCCGAGCGUUGUCCGGAUUUAUUGGGCGUAAAGCGAGCGCAGGCGGUUCUUUAAGUCUGAAGUUAAAGGCAGUGGCUUAACCAUUGUACGCUUUGGAAACUGGAGGACUUGAGUGCAGAAGGGGAGAGUGGAAUUCCAUGUGUAGCGGUGAAAUGCGUAGAUAUAUGGAGGAACACCGGUGGCGAAAGCGGCUCUCUGGUCUGUAACUGACGCUGAGGCUCGAAAGCGUGGGGAGCAAACAGG